rnacentral:rRNA from 1 species
UACGUAGGUUGCGAGCGUUCGUCCGGAUUUACUGGGCGUAAAGCGCACGCAGGCGGUUCCGAAAGUCGAAUGUGAAAGCUCCCGGCCCAACUGGGAGAGGCCGUUCGAAACUUCGGGACUUGAAGGCGGGAGAGGCAGAUGGAAUUUCCGGUGUAGCGGUAAAAUGCGUAGAUACCGGAAGGAACACCAGUGGCGAAAGCGACUACCUGGCCUGUUCUUGACGCUGAGGCGCGAAAGCUAGGGGAGCAAACGGG